rnacentral:rRNA from 1 species
AUUGAACGCUGGCGGCAUGCUUUACACAUGCAAGUCGAACGGUAACAGGCCUUCGGGCGCUGACGAGUGGCGAACGGGUGAGUAAUGCAUCGGAACGUGCCCAGUCGUGGGGGAUAACUGCUCGAAAGAGCAGCUAAUACCGCAUACGAUCUGCGGAUGAAAGCGGGGGACCUUCGGGCCUCGCGCGAUUGGAGCGGCCGAUGUCAGAUUAGGUAGUUGGUGGGGUAAAGGCUCACCAAGCCAACGAUCUGUAGCUGGUCUGAGAGGACGACCAGCCACACUGGGACUGAGACACGGCCCAGACUCCUACGGGAGGCAGCAGUGGGGAAUUUUGGACAAUGGGCGCAAGCCUGAUCCAGCAAUGCCGCGUGCAGGAAGAAGGCCUUCGGGUUGUAAACUGCUUUUGUACGGAACGAAACGGUCUGGGUUAAUACCCCGGGCUAAUGACGGUACCGUAAGAAUAAGCACCGGCUAACUACGUGCCAGCCGCCGCCGUAACAC